rnacentral:rRNA from 1 species
AUUGAACGCUGGCGGCAGGCCUAACACAUGCAAGUCGAGCGGAUGAACGGAGCUUUCUCCUGGAUUCAGUUGCGGACGGGCGGGUAAUGCCUACGAAUAUGCCCUACAGUUGGGGCUAACGUCACUUAACGGAAGCGAAUAUCGUAUCCGACAAUAUUUUGAAACGGGUGGAUCUACAGACCACACGCGUUUUGCUGUCCCUAGGUCGGAUUACCGAGCUGCAUUAGUUAGUUGGUAAGGUAACGGCUUACCAAGGCAACGAUGCAUAGCCGACCUGAGAGGGUGAUCGGCCACACUGGAACUGAGACACGGUCCAGACUCCUACGGGAGGCAGCAGUAGGGAAUAUUCCGCAAUGGGCGAAAGCCUGACGGAGCAACGCCGCGUGAGUGAUGAAGGUCUUCGGAUCGUAAAACUCUGUUAUUAGGGAAGAACAUAUGUGUAAGUAACUGUGCACAUCUUGACGGUACCUAAUCAGAAAGCCACGGCUAACUACGUG